GCCUGGCUGGCUCACUCAGUAGAGCAUGAGACUCUUAAUCUCCAGGUCUUUGAGUUCAAGCCCCAAAUUAAGCU
rnacentral:tRNA from 1 species